rnacentral:rRNA from 1 species
AGCGAACGCUGGCGGCAGGCUUAACACAUGCAAGUCGAGCGGGCACUUUCGGGUGUCCGCGGCGGACGGGUGCGUAACGCGUGGGAACGUGCCCUCUGGUUCGGAAUCACUCAGGGAAACUUGAGCUAAUACCGGAUACGCCCUUUUGGGGAAAGGCUUGCUGCCGGAGGAUCGGCCCGCGUCGGAUUAGCUUGUUGGUGAGGUAACGGCUCACCAAGGCGCCGAUCAUUAGCUGGUCUGAGAGGAUGGUCCGCCACACUGGGACUGAGACACGGCCCAGACUCCUACGGGAGGCAGCAGUGGGGAAUAGUGGACAAUGGGCGCAAGCCUGAUCCAGCCAUGCCGCGUGAGUGAUGAAGGCCUUAGGGUUGUAAAGCUCUUUUAUCCGGGACGAUAAUGACGGUACCGGAGGAAUAAGCCCCGGCUAACUUCGUG